UGCAUGCUGCCGGGGCUUAGCAGAACUUCCUCGUCCCUUCUAUUCCUGUGGCAGUGGGCUCAGAGGACUCAGGCUGGGGAGUGAGAAACUCCCAGAAUGAAGCCUCCUCACAGGAGUUUCUGCUGUGAGUCACUGAGCCAUGGUAACUGGGUGUCCCACAUCUGCUCUGACAGUCCGGUGGGAGAAGAGGAGAGACAGACUUGAACCUGUCAGAAGACAAGGACCAUGGUGGAUGUUUGCAGUUCCAGGUUGGACGACUGAGAAGCUGGGGAGACAGAUCCACAGUGACUGAGUGUCUCUCACAUGGUGCUCCUGAGCUGAGACCAGGAAAUAACAGAAGUGAAAAUGGUGGAUACAGGUCUCCACAUCUGAAAGUUGGCAGCCAAGUUAGGGAGACAGUCAAUCUCCUAACACUCAGCUACAGGGCUGAUACAGCUGAAAAUGAGACUCACAAUUUGAUCACACGGGUGCACAGUGACAACGUCGAUUGAAUUUGCAGCUCUGACAGAUGUGUUUUAUAAAGGCCGGGGCACUGAUCAGAGAGGAGGAGGAUGCCAGGGCAUGUUAUUGAACUUGGAUGAGUCUGAAAAACAGCUGCUUCUUGCUGUCUGGAGUGAUGAGUCUCUCCUUUCCUGAGAAGCCCGUGAGGAGUUCACAGGAGCAACUUCCCCAGGAGAACAUCGAGUCUCGUCUGCUGAGCUGCCAGCAGAAGCCUCUUCCUGUGCCCCAGGAUACUUGUCUCAGAGGAGAUCAUUAUGGUACCAUGGGAAUUUUCCUAUGACCCAUUGAUAGAGCAAGAAAAGACACAACCCCAGUUUGCAGAUGCUUUUAUUUAGUACAGCAAGGCUUCCAGACCAGCAGUUCAUGAAGAUGAGGUCUGUUUGGUUGGCUACAGAUCCAAACAGAAGUGUGCGCCU
rnacentral:lncRNA from 1 species